GGGCGCGUAGCUCAGUUGGUUAGAGCGCUUCCCUUACAAGGAAGAAGCCGCAGGUUCGAGUCCUGCCUCGCCCAC
rnacentral:tRNA from 1 species